GGCGGCGCUGAGUCUUCACUGCGGCUCCUGUGUCUGUUUGUGUCUGUGGAAAUGGCGAAGUUUGGAGAUUUAAAAGUCUUUCUCGAGUCUUCUCUGAAUGAAAUCUUCCGUGUGACCGUCAGUGAUAUCCUGGACUCGGUGGAGCAGACCGUCGGAGAGUUUCAGCGCAAAAUCCAGAGGAUCGAGACCGAGAACGAGGAGCUGAAGAAGCGGCUGAGGGCAGGAGAGGAGAGCCCGAAACACCGCAGACCCGCCGCUGAGGAUGGCGUUCGCAGAGCUGUGUUUCCCCUGAGCUGCGAUGCGGAGUGUGUGCGCCGCUGUAAGAACACACAGACGGCAGACGCACCGCAGGACUGUGCAGGAGUGUGUUUAUCAGUGUGUGUGUGUGUGAAGACCGAGCCGAAGGAAGACUGUGCAUACACACAGCCGGAGAUUAAGAGUGAGGACGUGGAGGAGCGCUGCGACCCUGAGACCACACACACACACACUGCAGACGCUGUGACACACACACACUCACUGAGACCGCAUACACACACACUGCAGAUGCUGUGACACACACACACUCACCUGAGACCUCAUACACACACACUGCAGACGCUGUGACACACACACACUUACCUAAGACCGCAUACACACACACUGCAGACGCUGUGACACACACACACUUACCUAAGACCGCAUACACACACACUGCAGAUGUUGUGACGCACACACACACACCUGAGACCGUAUACACACACACUGCAGAUGCUGUGACGCACACACACACACCUGAGGCCACAUACACACACACUGCAGACACCGUGACGCACACACACUCUGAGGAUGAGUCCAGCGCAGCGUCCGCCUCCCAGAACACACACGUGUGCGGUGUGUGUGGGACGGGCUUUGAGCGGGCAGACCUGCUGCUGCUGCACCUGCACACACACACCGGUGCGCGUCCGUUCAUCUGCGGCGUCUGCGGGAAGAGCUACGGGCACCGGGGGCAGCUGCGCACACAUCGGCGGCUGCACACGGGCGAGCGUCCGUACGGCUGCAGCGUCUGCGGGAAACGCUUCAAUGAGCAGAGCCAGCUGAAGGUGCACCAGCGCACACACACCGGCGAGCGGCCGUACACCUGCAGCGCCUGCGGGAAGAGCUUCACCAAUGCCGGGAAUCUGCGCAGCCACCAGCGCACACACACCGGCGAGCGGCCAUACGGCUGCAGCAGCUGCGGCAAACGAUUCAACGGCGCGGGAGACCUGCGCACACACCAGCGCAUUCACACCGGCGAGCGGCCGUACCACUGCGAGCUCUGCAACAAGAGGUUCAGCCAGGCCGGACACCUGACCAUCCACCGCCGCAUGCACACGGGCGAGCGGCCGUACGGCUGCAGCAGCUGCGGGAAGCGCUUCACCGUGGCCAGCAGCCUGAAGCUGCACCUGCUGACACACACGGGCGAGCGGCGGCACGCCUGCAGCCACUGCAGCAAGAGCUUCAGCCGCGCCGGACACCUGAAGAGGCACGCGCUGGUGCACAGCCGGCAGGAGCCGCACCGCUGCGAACACUGCGGCCGCAUCUACAGCGACCCGUCCUCCCUGAGGAAGCACCAGAGGACGCACAGCGCAGCGGACGGGGGUCAGGGGUCAGCCGGGGGUCAGGGGUCAGAUGACCAGAGCGGCGCCCAGUGACGAACACCUUCAGUCCUGCGCUCUGCAUCCCCUCAGUAGUAAUUAAUGAAGCUGGUGGUGGUGUGUGGUUUAUUCAUCUGCAUAUGCCAGAGUAAUUGGCGGUUCAUUCCGCUGUGGCGGCCUCUGAUAAAUCAGGUACUGAGCUGAAGGAAAAUGAAUGAAUGAAUGAAUGAAUGCUGUGACUGUGAUGGUCGCUCACUGACCUCUAGUGGACGCUCCUGAAUCUGCUCCACUACUGUCUGUCCUCCAUCAGAAGAGUGUGUGUGUGUGUGUGUGUGCGUUUCACUCUCUGAGGAGAGAUGAGCUCUGCACGGUCCAUGAUAAACUCUGUUCUGGCCUGGUUCUGUAACUCCUCAUCAUUAUUUCAUGAUCAAACACUGUAAUCCCUCGUGUCCGAGUGUGUUUGGCUGAAAGCCUCUGCUGAAUGAUUAAGUGUAAUGUUUUAACCACAGCAGCACAUAAAGGAGCGUAUGCUAAUAACAGCGUAUGCUAAUAACAGCGUAUGCUAAUAACAGCGAUGCUAAUAACAGCGUAUGCUAAUAACAGCGUAUGCUAAUAACAGCGUAUGCUAAUAACAGCGAUGCUCAUCGUCUAAUGUGUUUAUCUAAUGUUAUUAAUAUUGUUUUAUAGAAUUAAUGGCUCAUGUCAUUGAUCUGUCUGGUCUAUAUAGACUCCAUAAAUCCCCCAGAACACACAGCAGGCUGACACUGUAUUUAUGUGUGUGUUUGUUUAUUGAUGUGGCAGUGCUCAACACUACAUUGAUCAAAGACACCUGAACAUUAAUGCUGAAUAAAUGAAGCUGAAGGCGCAGUGGAUGAGGAGCAGAUGCUGGAGUCUUCAUUAUUAAUGCUGUGAUUAUGGGAUGUCUGUGUGUAGAUCAGUGUCAGUUCCUCCAUCACAGCAUCUGAAACACAGGGCAGAGUUCAGUUACAGCCGCUCUCUUCAUGCAGGCGGUAACUGAAGGCAAAGUCCAGGCUUCAUUAACAUAAACACAUCUUCAUUCUCAAUAACCCAUGUAAAGGCAUCUGUCUGCAUUAGCCGUGUUCUGAUGUCUGUUCUCUUCUCCAGAACUUCACUUAAAAAGCUAAAACUAGAAGUGUGUGUGUGCUGAUGGAGGAGCAAACACUCAAAACAAACAAAAUAAAUAUUAAUUAAUGCUAAAUAACCAAAAAUAAAUGACGGUAAUAACACACAUCCUAAUAUAGGCGGUUCAUUCCGCUGUGGCGACAUCUGAUAAAUGAGGAGCUGAGCUGAAGGGAAGUGAGCUCAGAAAACAGACAUAUUGUACACUCAAAUAUAUAUAUUUCUCUUGUUCAAACUACUUAUUUAAAAUGAGCUGAAACAACACAAUUGCAGAGGUUUCAUUGGGACAACUUAAUUUUUUUUGUUCAAUCCACAUAAAUUUGUUGAGCGUUAGCGUAAUCGAUUUGUGUUGUGACAGCAUGAAUGAAUUGUGUGGAACCCUGUAUAUUUGACAGUGUAUUUGAAUUAAAACUAGUUUACUGUACAGAUGUCCAGGCUCAGUCUUUUAAGAGCCGUCUCCUCCUAGAGUUUAUUUUAAAGCAGUGGCUAAAUGCGUGAAAUCAUCGAUGGUAUAUAGUCUCUCAACAAACUUUCUUGUGUUUAGUUUUUUAAAUAAAGCUUGUUACGAUUACCAUAGUAA